UAAUUUUGUCCAUCUUGACUGAGGGAGACUUCAGCUCAAACAAAGGCUGUAAAUAUAGUGAAAGUGCAAAUACAUUAACAAGAGAGCACUCUAAGACCAGCUGGCAUUCUAGUUAAUAUAAGUUUAUUACAUGCAUACUCUUGCAAUAUAGAGUGAGGUUUGGAUCUAUAAAACCUCCUUAGAAACUACUUGCUAAAACUGUGCCUGAUUUUUCAGAGGAAGAAAUCAAAGUUCAAAGUGGUUAUAUAAUUUACAGAAGGCCAUAUAGCUGUUUAAACAAAGAAUUUCCUAUAGAAUAUGUCUCUUCCUUACCACUCCACUGAAUUUCAGUUAUUCCAAGUGACCAUUUCUGGAAGAAGAAAAAAACAAACUAUCUUUUGAGAGUCCGUAGAAAAUAUUUUGAAACAACUCAGAACUGAUUUGUGCAUGCACCUUUUAAAUCUUGAUAAUAGUUCCUGUUGUGGCAUAGCGGAAACGAAUCUGACUAGGAUCCAUGAGGAUGCAGAUUCUAUCCCUGGCCUCCCCCAGUGGGUUAAGGAUCCUGUGUGGCUGUGGUGUAGACCAGCAGCCAUAGCGCUGAUUCGACCCCCAGCCUGGGAACCUCCACAAAAAAAAAAAAGCAAAUCUUGAUAGUAGUAAUCAAAUUGAAUUAUUUUUAGGGGGGAAAAAUUUAUCCUCCUCAAGGAUAAUUGUGGAACUACAGGAUUUUCACUAAAAGAAAACCCAGACACUGGCUCCAGGCCAGCAAGAAAUGUUCUGAAACUGAAAAUGGUGAUGUGUAUCAGGACGAUAAAGAGGAAUGAACCUGCUACCAUGCAGGAAAGGUGUGUAGCUUUCCAAAAGGCAGAGUACCCGUCAGGGCCUUAGAAAAAGGUUCCGUCCUCUCUGAUUCUCUCUAGAAUGUGCCACAAAUCAUAAAGAAAGGAGACAGGGCCAGUGGAGAGAGUGGCAUGUUUGUUCAGUAGAGGUGGAAAGAACAUUUAGAAAUUUGGAAAAUGGGAAGUAGGGCUAAAAAGACUGAAUGCUGGGGAGUUUCUCAUAAGAUGCAGGAUAAUGAGGGAGAGUAAGGACACCAGAAUCAGAAAAGUGUAAGUUCAAUUCCCGACUUUGCCACUCGUUCAGCUUCUUUUCCCGUAAAAGGAGAAUGAUAAUAACUGCACACAGGUUUAUCGUGAAGAUAAAUGUUUCAGCACAAGUAAAGGUGCUGGUGCACGUCUGUGUUCAAAAAUGGUAGCGUGAGUUCAAGUGAGAUUGUGUGGGAGGGGACAGUUCCCUGGAGGAGCUUCUCACUUGGACAGUCUGCCUUCCUCGGAGUCCUGGAUCCUGACCUUGGCUUGGCCACUUGGCCAUGUACACAUUUCUGACUCCAAAUUAUAAUUUUUUUCCUAACGUUCCAAACUAUCUCCCACCUACACUGACUCACAGCAGUGGGUUCUGGCUUUCCAUGUCCUGUCCUACUAACACUCAAUGUGAACUACAUGGGCUGCAGAGAAGCGGAUGAACUAUUGCAAAAGGUACAUGUCUUUUUGCAUGCUUUGAGUUCUUCAGACUUUACAAAGCCUUUUAUUUUUAGAAUUGAUAUAUUAGGUACUGAAAUAAACCCAGUAAACCAUGACUGCUAAUGAGAUCAAAAUCUCAUUUGAUGCCCCAAAAAUGUUUAAACUUUGAACAAGUUCAGGACACAUAUUUUUUGUUAUCAGAUCAAGAUGUGAUGUGCUUACAAUCACAACAUUCUAAUUAGAGAUUAUUGGAGAAAAAAAAUCAUCACUUCAAAUAAUUUAUCAUGUAACUGAUGACAAAACAGUUUUCAAACCAAACUUAAAUAGUCUGUUUUGCCAAGAUGAUAGCAUUAUUAUAAAGAAAGUGGGAAAAGUUAUGGCCAUGCUAAUUUAUGUGUUCUUUUAUUUUAUAUAUCUCCAAUUAAACUCUGUUUUCAUUGGCAAAUGGGGAAUAAAAAUAAUAUAUGAUGUUAUAUUUUUAAGAGUAUACAAAAUUACAUGCCUGUCCCUUUAAGGAAUCUGUACCUUCAAGGAGCACCUUUGUUCACAACGUAUAGAACAGUCUGAUGGGAGCAAAUGGGGAAGAUGACACUCUGCCCAAGUUUUACUUUAAUUAAAUUUAUUGAAGUACAAUAUAUAUACAGUAAAUUCACCGCUUUUAAUCUACAGUUCUGUGAGUUUUGACAAUAAUGUGACCAUUACCACACUCAAGAUAUAGAACAGUUCUAUCACCCAAAACAUUAUCUCAUGUCUCUUCGUGGUCAAUCUUUGCCCCAACCCCUUAAUCAAUUCUCUUCCCUAUGGUUUUGCCUUUUCCAGAAUGUCAUAUAAGCCUUUGUAGUGUAGGUUCUUUUUCUUACCAUAAUACAUUUUAGAUUCAUACAUUGUGUGUCUAUCAGAAGUUUGUUCCUUUUUAUUGCUGAGUAGUAUUCCAUUACCUGGAUGUAUCCCAGUUUGUUUACAUAGAAAUGAAAGACAUUUGACUUACGUCCAGUUUUUGGCAGUUGUGAAUAAACCUUCUCUAUAUAUUCACAUACAGGUUUUUGUGUAACGUUGAGUUUUCGUUUCUCUUGGGUGGCGAUCAUGCUGGGUAGUACAAUAAAUCUAUUUUAACAUUAUAAGAAAUUUCCAAACACGUGUCUGCACCAUAUUUUAUCCUCUCUCAGCGAUACACGCAAGUUUCAGUUGCUCCACUUUUUUGUCAGCACUUGAUAACUGUCAUAUUCUUUUAGGAAUUCUAAUAGCUGUAUAGUGUUACCUCAUUAGACUUUUAAUUUUCCUACUAUCUGAGGAUGUUGAGCAUCUUUUUAUACGUACAUUUGAGGUCUGAAUAUCUUCUUUGGAGAAAUGUUUAAACUUUGCCCAUUUUUAAUUGGGUUGUUUAUUUUCCUAUUACUGAGUCUGGAGAGAGAGAUUCACGAACAUCCUGGUCCAAGACCAAAGGCCUGAGAACGGGAAACGCUGAUGCCUGAGGAAGACAGGAGUCCCAGCUCAAGCAGAGACCAAAGUCAGCCUCCCUCCAUUUUUUUAUCCUCUUGCAGUCCUCAGUGGAUUAGAUUAUGCCCACCUACACUGGUUAGGGGUGAGGGCCAUAUUCACUCAGCCUAUCUUGAAUCAGUUUUCUGUCUGGAAACACCUUCAAAGACAUACAUAGAAAUGAUGAUUUACCAGUUAUCUGGGCCCCUUUAGCCCAGUCAACUUAACACAUAAAAUUAACCAUCCCAGACCCAUCAAAGACAUACCUCAUGUCUCUAACUGUCCCUGUCUGUAAUCAUUCCAAUAUCUGGGUUAUCUCUGAGUCUGAUUCUAUGGUUCACUUUACUCUUUACCACGGAUUGUUUUUUCUUGCUUUUUUGUGUUUGUCUCAUAAUUUUUUAUUUAUUGUCAGGCACAAAGUUUAAAAGAGUAUAGACUCAAACAAAUAGAACUUAUGCAUAGAAAUGAGACACCUCUUCUCCUAGGCCAUUCCUGUGUGCUGGAGGCCAGGGUUGGGGACAGGGGUGGUUCACCCAGUAAACUCAGUCGUUGAGCUGGGUUUGGGUUUUUUAUUGCUAUGGUGACCCUGAAUUCACCAUUGGCCUCAAAUUUCUUCAGUUAUUCCGUGCUUAAGGUGGGUAUUGUUUAGACAGAGGACACUUCUCCGUGUUCCUAUUUCACCCUCACUUUCACCCUUCUCUGUAUGCUUGGGUCUCAGAGUCUCUCUGCAUGGCCUUGUCUCCUCUCCUGGCUUAACGUGGUUGCCUUUCCCUUGACAGUACCCAGUCUGGUGGGGAGAAGAAAUGUACUCUCUGUUAUUCUGGCUCAGCCUUGAUCAUAGGCAGGCGCUGUACCCCUGGUUUGGGCAGGGGUUGGCAGUGAUCCUGCCCCUCACUUGAGUGUUAGGAAAUCUCUAAUCCUCUGAGUCCAGGAAGUCUCCUGCUGUCCCUACAGGAGUAUGCAGUAUUCUUUCUUCUCAGUUUUUCCAGCCAGAGUCGGUCUUCACACAUGCUCUGGGAAGGGUUCACUGUCCUUCCCCCAGUGACAUGGGGUUUUUUUCUGUUUUUUUGUUUUUAAUAUGUAAAUGUAUUUAUUUUUUAAAGACUUCCCAUGUGGCUCGCAGCAUAACUACUCAGCGUUGCUUCUAUAUUGUAUUUCUCAUAACUAAGUCCUCACAUCAUCUCUUUGAGGUAAAUGUACUUAAUUCCCAUUUUAGAGAUAGGAAAAUUGGGGUCCAGAGAUUUUAAACAACUUUCCCAAGAUCAAGUAGGUUGUAUGUUGCAGAGCAUGUAUUUAAACCUAGAUCUGUCUUAUUCCAAGUUCAUGAGGGGCUUAAGGGUGUGUCUUUAUCUGUGUGGGAGGAAGGCCUUUCAAUCUGGAAAUCCUGAGGGUUGAAGAGUCUUAAUUGCCAUACUAAGGAGAGUGGAUUUUACCCUGAAAGUGUGGUGCAGAGGGUCUUCUUUCCAGCUUCAUCUCCUGCCUUUUCACAUACACCUGAGCCACCUGUACCACCAUUAGUUCCAAACAGAACUUGAUUUCCUAUCUUCACGCUUUGCACAUGCUUUCCCUUCUGCCUGGUAGGCGCUCCUUCCCAAUAUGCCUUUGUCUCCUGGCUAAUGAAGACUCACCUUUCAAGACUUCAUGCAGAGUUCCUCUCUGGUUCACAAAUGUAGACACCAUCCUUGUUUAGGAAAGCUAGAAGCUUAAGCUUCCUAGAGGCAGGUGGAAAAGAAGCCAGGAUAAGGGUGGUCCUAACAAGAAAAGAGAAUGCAACAUGGAGCACAAGCAGCAAAGAGUCAAAUGUGUUUCAAGCUAUUUUCUGGGUCAGAAAAAAAUGUGUCCAAAGAGGAAUCAAGAGGAAAAUUAGAUGGUUUACUGCCUGUAUCAUAAGGUUGUUGAGCUUACAGGGAAAAUAAAAGCAGCACAUGCUGACUGAAACAGAACUACUGUUUCCUUGAACAACUCUGUCUGUAGUCAGCCCUACAUAAUAUGUUUAUGACGUGUGCUUAAGAUUCCUUUUGCAUCUCUAAUCUUAUGUUUUGGCAUCCUUUUCUCUCAACACUUUUUAUAAAUUCAAAACUUCUAAAACCAGCCAAUAUCAGUAUACAUGCUUCAUAGAAAAUCCUUUUAUCAAAAGUCCAUUCAUUCAACCAGUGUUUAAUGAGAACCUAUAAAUAUGCAAGGCACUAAUGGGACAUGUAUAGAUAAGGCCUACAGCAGAGGAACCUCUAAGAUCCUACACAGAGGUCACAAAAUUGUACCUCAUAGCCAUGAUAUUUUGCUUAAAAUAUAUUCUUAAAAAUUUGGAGAUUUCCCAUAUUCAUCUGGAUUUCUGACUUUGAUUGAAUAAAUUGGUGAAUUGGCACCACUUGGCUUGCAAUCCCAAAUAGAACAGGCUUGAGCUGAGUGUGCCAUCUUUUACAGGCCAGGAUGUUUUCCAGUGUACCACUGGCACCACCAUACCUAUCAACCUUGGGAAUCUCACAAUGGAAAGCCAUUCUUGACCCUGUCCUCUCGCUCAUUCUUCAUAUUCAAUCAGGCAACAAGUCAAUUUAGUCUCUACAAUAUGUGUCUUUGCUUCCAUCCCCUCCUUCUCACUCUAAUUUCCAGGACUUUAUUACCCCCUGAUGAGACUUAUAGUAAUAAUAGCUAACAUACAUUGAACAGCACUCAUGUGUUAAGCACUAUGCAUGGGCCAUCUCAUUUAAUCCUCACAUCAGCCUGAAAAGAUAAACUCCAUUUUACAGUAAAGUGAGAAACUACUGUAAAAGCUUAAUGCCCCCUCCUAAGGUCCCACAGCCUUCAAGGGGUACAGUUUGACUCUCAAGUCUAAACUCUUAACCCUACAGAUGCUGUAAAUCAUGAAGAUAACUUCAAGCCUUGGGUACAAGUAGCCCUAGUGUCUUGAAGACUUUCCAAGGGGUAGAAAGAAAAAGAAGGCUUUAAAAGGAUCAUUUUCCAUUCCAGAGCCUCAACUGUUAUGAAUACUCUUGCCCAGAAUGGGUCUACCUGCUAACCCAAGUGAGGUCUCAGAGUCCCCCUUCACCAUGACCUUUCUCUCACUGACUAUCCCUCAGUCAUCUUGAAUCUUAUCAGGGCACACUUCCCCAGAGUAUAAAACACUCAAGUAAACAAAAGGACAAGUUGAAAUAUUGAUGUAGGUGUGGGGGAGAGUCAAUAGCUUUUUCUAUUGAGUAACAAACCUUUCGAGGUCCAAUCCAAUUACAAGUUCCAUUCCAACCUGGAUACAGAAAGAUGACAUGCAGUUGCCAGCCUAAUAACACCUAAUAACCUUGUCUUGUUGUCGCAAUUAACCUUCAGUGUACCACAGGCUUCAACUUUUUUGCUGCUCUAGGCUUAGGCAGGGGGCUGAGAUGCAAAAGGGUCUUCCUUAAAGGUUCCUGCUGCCCGCUCUGUUCUCAGCCAUCUCUGAGGCCAAUGUCACCAUGCUCUCCUUCCACAAGUGACACACUAUUUGCUCAGCUGUUGUUGUUCCUAGGUACCAGGCCUGGGGUGGGGGC
rnacentral:lncRNA from 1 species